UAUGCUGCAGCUUGCAGUGCCUGCCAGGCCACCGCUCUUGUUCCAAAGGACCAGGACGCCAGGCACGUCCCACUGCAUCAGAGCCACCAUGCCCCCUCCCACCUACCCCUCGGCCUGCCUAGGGUCAUUGGGCAUGGCUAUUUUUUUUCAGCAUCUCUGCUGGUCACAGAGAUGUUUCUAGUAGCCCCAAAGCUGGACUUGGUCCUGUGUAGGGAGAGAUGGUUGAAAGGAUUAAGGGCUUCCCUGCUUCUCACUGUCAACCCCUCUAAUGAAGUGCCAGCUGAUGGAGAGCUGGCUGGAUUGGAUGGAGGACAAUCUACUCCACCUGGGAGAGGCCUCUCAGGGCAGCAGCAGUAGGGAAGAGAGAGAAGGGCACUCUUCUGCUUUCCAGAUUCAAAGGGAAUAAUAACUUACAACACCAGAGCAGACCCUUCUUCCUUCUGCAGUGAAGCACCAGUCACAGUUCUAUGUCCCAGGUAUACAGCAUCUGGAAUCCAAUCCGGUCUGUGCUAUAUGGCAAGAAACAUAGGCAAGACUGAACCCAGAAAAACACCCAUGGGUACUAUUUACCAAUCAAUGCCUGCUUUAAGCCAGAAGCAGGUCUUAACAGACUGCCAAAUAUCCAUCAAGAUUUUUAAGUGGAAUAAAAAGCGGCGGAAACCCAUUACAAGGGCCCUUCAGAGUACCACCUGGAUUGGUAGAGAGCCAUGUUUCACCCUCUUCCAGGCUGACAUCUACUCUAUUCUCAGGCUAAUCUUACACCAACACCCAAAGCGCCAUGUUACUCUUGAUGGUGGGUAUAAUGGCAAAAUUAGGUACAUUUCGGACACUUUGCCAAAAUACCCAAAGCCUCAAGAUCUUUAUUGUCAUUUUCUUAAGCUCUGCACUGGAGAAGGAAGCAGGGAGAUUCAGGUUUUUACCAACCUCCACCACAAGUGGCAUCUCUCCUUUAGGUUACCCUUGGGAUAGAUAAAUGAAUCCCACCUCCCAGGAUACUGAAAUGAAGCUGUAAAGAUGUCAACUUCCUGUAAAGCUAGUCCAAAUUACAUAAUCUUUCUCUACCCUUUGGUGCAGAGUUCACUGGAUUCUCUUUACCCACUGACCCUCCUCCUGGCUCAGGCUCUAACUAAACACAGUCCUUCCCCUCUCCCACCUCACAUACCUGCAGGACUACGGAGAUGGAAACUGAAUUGUCAGUUUCUGUGUGCAUUGUAUCAUGUUUCCCUACAAAUUCAGAGGUUUCUCUGGUACAGGCCAGCUUCAGAGCUAACACACAAUGAAACAUGGUUUUCAAAUCACAACAUCAGAGUAGUCAUUUUAGGGAUACAACAAACAGAAGGCAUAAACGGGAAAGUAAAUGUAUCUCUGUGUUCACUGGUAGUGUGAUGGUGUACAAGGUAGGAGGAAUAUUGUAGGAGAACUGGAAGACAAAAAACCCAGGUUUCGUUGUUUACUAGUUGUACAGCUUUGGGCAACUGACAUUCUCUUUAACUUCAGCAUCGUCACAUGUAAAAUGCUCAGUGGUUCUCAUCCAGGGAGGGCGUGGUUUAAAUACACACAUGCCUACCUUUUCUGCCUCACUCACAGGUACAAAGAUCCUAUCUUCUUAAGGAUGCUAUUGUCAGGGAGUGUGUACCACCCACAGGUGAAGAAGACAAACUAGCGGGGAUGGGGGCAGAGAUUGUGCAUACUAGAUGGCAGAAGCUCUCUAAAUAAGCAGUGGCUUUAUACUAGCAGCAGUCUUGUUUUAAGCUUAAUUUCUCAAUAGAAGAAAGGACUGGGACAGUUGGGAUCAUAGCUCAAUGUUGGGGGUGAGGAAGGGGGUUCUAAGAAUUUGAAUACUAACAAGGCCAAACCACGAUGAUUCCAGAUUGUACUCUGGAGACUCUUCUUCUCCACUGGCCCCAGAAUCCCCAUCAGACGAGGAGAAACAUCACAACUGCAGAAAACUGCAGACAACUAGAAGUCAUUCUUAAAGAGAUUUAAUUAUUUGAAGUGCAUAAAAGGGAAGAGUACAUUUAAAUCUCUGCUAUAUCACAAACUGCUGUUUUUGUUGUUGUUUUAUUAAAGACCCACCAAUUUUACUAAUCUUCAGGUUUAUGGCUGUAGAAUGUGGGGAAAACAAAUAUUGGCAACAGAAUAGGAAAAAGUAAGCAAAAGUCUGUUCUGUUCACUGGAAUGUCUUCUCCACUGCAGAACAGAGCCCUUUAAAAAAGAAAAGCAAGGAAAAUAGCUAUGGGCUAUCCACAGCCAGUAAUGACAGCUAGAGUUAGAAAGAAAUGAGAAAGAAAACCAGGAGGCAAAGCCUGGGAAUUCACAAGUUUCCUCUCAAGACAUAUACUAAACUUGGACCUCUAUGAAGAUUAAUUUUCCUUAGAUUUCCUUCCAACAUCUUAACCCUAAAACCAAGUUCUCCUGUCAAUUCAAAUAUAAUAAUGGCAUCAUUCCACAAGGACUGAUUUGAGGAUUGAAGUGAUUUGCCAACAUUCUGAGAAAGCUUUAGUGCAAGAGCAGGGCUUUAAAGACAGGUUCUAGUCCUUAAAGACAGAGGGGUUCUUUGUUAGUAAGGGCUGUAGGCCUUUGGCCCACCAAACAGAGCAGGACACAAAAGAAGAAUCCCCUGAUGUUGUUUGCAGGCUAACAUCUACUGCCACUGCAACUCGGUUGGGCAGAAGCAAAAGCAAGCAGCCCCUUCUAGCUGUGUAAGCCCACAAUGGAGAGGGGCAGAAGAAGCUGUGCUCUAAUGGCUCUAAAUAAUCAGCAUUUAGUGUUAUGUUAGGAUGAAGGAUUUAUUCCACAAUAUAAACUGUAACAUUUGAUACAAGCUACCAAAAAAUAGGGGCAGAAGAAAGGGGCAGGGAGAAAGCCAAAAUACAGCUGUGGCAAUUACUUACAGAGAAGUCUCUUUUCUACAUCACUAGUUCAUCAGUGACACUAGAAACUAGACAUUUGUGUUCUGUACAUCAAUCAAUUGCUAAAGCACCAACACACUGUUUGGAAGUUUGUUUUGUUUUGUUUUAAUUCCAGCCAUGGAAACCAACACAGAAGUUAUUGCUCAGAUAAAUAAACCUAGUCUACCAGGAAAAA